rnacentral:rRNA from 1 species
CCUACGGGAGGCAGCAGUGAGGAAUAUUGGUCAAUGGGCGCGAGCCUGAACCAGCCAAGUCGCGUGAAGGAUGACGGCCCUAUGGAUUGUAAACUUCUUUUAUAAGGGAAUAAAGUGUGGGACGUGUCCUAUUUUGUAUGUACCUUAUGAAUAAGGAUCGGCUAACUCCGUGCCAGCAGCCGCGGUAAUACGGAGGAUCCGAGCGUUAUCCGGAUUUAUUGGGUUUAAAGGGUGCGUAGGCGGGCUUUUAAGUCAGUGGGGAAAGUUUGUGGCUCAACCCUAGAAUUGCCGUUGAAACUGGUGUUCUUGAGUAUGUUAGAGGCAGGCGGAAUGCGUGGUGUAGCGGUGAAAUGCUUAGAUAUCACGCAGAACCCCGAUUGCGAAGGCAGCCUGCCGGGCCAUAACUGACGCUGAUGCACGAAAGCGUGGGUAUCAAACAGGAUUAGAUACCCGUGUAGUC